rnacentral:rRNA from 1 species
UACGUAGGGUCCGAGCGUUGUCCGGAAUCACUGGGCGUAAAGGGUGCGUAGGCGGGUCUUUAAGUCAGGGGUGAAAUCCUGGAGCUCAACUCCAGAACUGCCUUUGAUACUGAAGAUCUUGAGUUCGGGAGAGGUGAGUGGAACUGCGAGUGUAGAGGUGAAAUUCGUAGAUAUUCGCAAGAACACCAGUGGCGAAGGCGGCUCACUGGCCCGAUACUGACGCUGAGGCACGAAAGCGUGGGAG